rnacentral:rRNA from 1 species
AGAGGAUGAUCAGCCACACUGGAACUGAGACACGGUCCAGACUCCUACGGGAGGCAGCAGUGGGGAAUAUUGCACAAUGGAGGAAACUCUGAUGCAGCAACGCCGCGUGGAGGAUGACGCAUUUCGGUGUGUAAACUCCUUUUAUAUGGGAAGAUAAUGACGGUACCAUAUGAAUAAGCACCGGCUAACUCCGUGCCAGCAGCCGCGGUAAUACGGAGGGUGCAAGCGUUACUCGGAAUCACUGGGCGUAAAGCGCGCGCAGGCGGCCUUUUAAGUUGGAUGUGAAAGCCUAUGGCUCAACCAUAGAACUGCAUCCAAAACUAUCAGGCUAGAGUGUGGGAGAGGAAGAUGGAAUUAGUUGUGUAGGGGUAAAAUCCGUAGAGAUAACUAGGAAUACCAAAAGCGAAGGCAAUCUUCUGGAACAUUACUGACGCUGAGGCGCGAAAGCGUGGGGAGCAAACAGGAUUAGAUACCCUGGUAGUCCACGCCCUAAACGAUGAAUGUUAGUCGUCGGGUAGCUAGUCUAUUCGGUGAUGCAGCUAACGCAUUAAACAUUCCGCCUGGGGAGUACGGUCGCAAGAUUAAAACUCAAAGGAAUAGACGGGGACCCGCACAAGUGGUGGAGCAUGUGGUUUAAUUCGAAGAUACGCGAAGAACCUUACCUAGCCUUGACAUAUUUAAGAACACUUUAGAGAUAGAGUGGUGCCUUCGGGAGCUUUUAUACAGGUGCUGCACGGCUGUCGUCAGCUCGUGUCGUGAGAUGUUGGGUUAAGUCCCGCAACGAGCGCAACCCUCGUCACUAGUUACUAACGGUUCGGCCGAGGACUCUAGUGAGACUGCCUUCGUAAGGAGGAGGAAGGUGAGGACGACGUCAAGUCAUCAUGGCCCUUACGGCUAGGGCAACACACGUGCUACAAUGGCCAGGACAAUGAGAAGCGAUACCGCGAGGUGGAGCAAAUCUAUAAACCUGGUCUCAGUUCGGAUUGUAGUCUGCAACUCGACUACAUGAAGCUGGAAUCACUAGUAAUCGUAGAUCAGCUAUGCUACGGUGAAUACGUUCCCGGGUCUUGUACUCACCGCCCGUCACACCAUGGGAGUUGAUUUCACCCGAAGCGGGGAAGCUAAACUGGCUACCCUCCACGGUGGAAUCAGCGACUGGGGUGAAGUCGUAACAAGGUAACCGUACUAGUACGUUCGC